AACGUAGGACGCAAGCGUUAUCCGGAAUUACUGGGCGUAAAGCGCGCGCAGGCGGAUUGCCAAGUCAUGUGUGAAAGCUCUCGGCUAAACUGAGAGAGGUCAGAUGAUACUGGUAGUCUGGAGUAGGUUAGAGGUGUGUGGAAUUCUGCGUGUAGUGGUGAAAUGCGUAGAGAUGCAGAGGAACACCAGAGGCGAAGGCGGCACACUGGGACCUAACUGACGCUGAGGCGCGAAAGCAUGGGUAGCGAACGGG
rnacentral:rRNA from 1 species